rnacentral:rRNA from 1 species
AUACGUAGGGGGCAAGCGUUAUCCGGAUUUACUGGGUGUAAUGCGCGCGUAGGUGGUUCAGUCAGUCAGAUGUGAAAGCCCCUGGCUUAUCCUGGGUACUGCACCUGCUACUGCUGAGCUAGAGUACGGUAGAGGGCCGUGGAAUUUACGGUGUCGCGGUGAAAUGCGUAGAGAUCGGAAGGAACACCAGUGGCGAAGGCGACUGCCUGGACAUAUACUGACACUGAGGUGCGAAAGCGUGGGUAGCAAACAGGAUUAGAUACCCUGGUAGUCCACGCCGUAAACGAUGUCAACUAGCCGUUGGGGGACUUGAUCCUUUAGUGGCGAAGCUAACGCGAUAAGUUGACCGCCUGGGGAGUACGGCCGCAAGGUUAAAACUCAAAUGAAUUGACGGGG